rnacentral:tRNA from 1 species
GCCUCCGUAGGCUAGCGGAUGAAACCGCCGGGCUUCUAUCCCGGAUUCGGUGGUUCGAUCCCUCCCGGGGGCA